rnacentral:sRNA from 1 species
GGAGUCACCAACACCGUUAUCAGCCACUAUGAUGGGCGCCAGUUCCCCAAGGUGGUGGGGGGCUUUGACCGAGUACUGCUGGAUGCUCCCUGCAGUGGCACUGGGGUCAUCUCCAAGGAUCCAGCCGUGAAGACCAACAAGGUGAGGAGUCAGGUGGUGGGCCCCUGAGAGGCCUUGGCUGGGUCUUGUAGAGCUGGAAAGUGAGAUGGGGACACCCUCUGGGCUCCCCUCUCCUCCUCAGGCUGCCUUUGGGUCUCUUUUUGGGACAGGAUGAGAAGGACAUCCUGCGCUGUGCUCACCUCCAGAAGGAGUUGCUCCUGAGUGCUAUUGACUCUGUCAAUGCGACCUCCAAGACAGGAGGCUACCUGGUUUACUGCACCUGUUCUAUCACGGUGAGACCUCCGCCAUGGCAGAGCGGGGGAGGCUGGGCUGGGGGGCUCUUUGCCCCUUAGAGCUCCCUUCAGCUCCAGCUCUGCUUUUUCCUCCCUUCUUUGUCUUCCCCCCACAUCCAGGUAGAAGAGAAUGAGUGGGUGGUAGACUAUGCUCUGAAAAAGAGGAAUGUGCGACUGGUGCCCACAGGCCUAGACUUUGGCCAGGA